GUUUGUGUGACCUUUGACUUCCCAUGAAGUCACUUCCUGUAGCUGCGCGCUAUUUUCCUCAGUCGCCUAGAGGCCCCGCUGAGGAGAGGUGUUCAUGCAGAAGUCCAGUAAAGUGAAGUUGCUGUACUGUUUUGUUUUUAUUUUAAACAGGUAUGUGAGCUCCCUCUUUUAUUUUUGUGUCAUGUGAACUGGUUAUAUCUUCUGUUUGUUUGUGAUUCAUGUUCACUGUUUCAACUUACUGUAAAUAUGUAAAAUUGCCACUGGUAAAUGAAGUCUCCCUAAAGUAUAAUUUUGUUGAUGAGGUAAUUGUCACUAUAUGUUCACGAUGCAGUGCAUUUUUGUUUGUUAUAUAUGAAUAUAAAUACAUUUUAGCAGUAUUAUUUGGUAAUUGGAUUUGUUGUAAUGUUGCACCUCAGUCGCCUAGAGGCCCCGCUGAGGAGAGGUGUUCAUGCAGAAGUCCAGUAAAGUGAAGUUGCUGUACUGUUUUGUUUUUAUUUUAAACAGUUCUGGGAGAAUAAAUCCACCCAGCUGGCAAAGUGA